CACGCACCCCCCAGUGGCCCAGACACACCCCUAAGCCCCCCCUUAGGGCUCAAAAAGCAGACAUACUUUGCAUUCCAGGGCCUAUGGCUUAAUCCACUCACAGUUAGGUUAUGUAACUCCAACAUGGAGACUGAUCAAAAGAUUCUGUUCCCAUGCAUAUUUUUGUUGGUCUGGUUUCCAGUGCAGUGGACAUGAGGUAUCAAUUACCGUAGGAUUCAGCAGUGGAGUAGGGAUAAGAGAGUGCAGGAUUAGACUGAGCCAAUUGUAUUUGGGCUGAUUUGCAUUCAUGCUCGUUUCCCUUCACAUAUCGGGAAGUCGGCCCUUGACCUAAGCAUGCUAAAAAAGCUCUAGAAGUGCUGUGUUUGUCCACUGCUUGACAGCACCAUUUGGAUGAGGGAUUGGCAAUCUAAUGCAGAUGUCUGAAUCGGUGGCGUUCUCAAAUCAAAGUCAUGUUUUUUGUGAUUUAAAAUUCAUGGGAUAUGAAAGAUUUAAUAGGUCACCCGCGAGUUGGGAGAGCAGGAAAGCUAGCUGCAGGAAUGCCCUGCUCCACCCCAGCCCCGCCUUUUCCUUUUCCAUUUCCUCUUCUCUGAUAUCCCAUAUUUGUGAUAAAUGUGAGUGUCGUACUUUCUCGUGCUUUGGGACCCAGGUGAGAAAUGGCACACUUCGCUGCGCCGGGUGUAAAGUAAUGUGAGGGGUGUGAGAGCAAUGCAAUGCUUCCAAAUGCAGUUUCGGCCAAUUAAUUAUGGUUCCUGUACCGAGCUAGGCACGGGCUUUGAAGCAGCACCAAGUCUCAUGGAUCAAAAGAACAGGGCACUAGCAAAUUCAGCCAGAAAAUAAAUUCUGCAUCAAAGAGAAAGCAUGUUAGCUGAUGUCAUUAACAUCCUCAGAUCACCUAUUGAACUAAUUACAAAUUUCCAAUGAAUGUCCGUGCACAGAAAAUGGCCGAAAUAUGGAAAUAAGACCGAUAAAUCACGGCGGCGGGAGAAGUGCCGGUGUGCCAUUUCUCGGCUGCGGCCCGCGGUGUCGUUGACUGGCUCUGUUGUUGUGUUUUCUUUGGCUGGUGUCUGUGGGUUCAAUCUCUCCCUCUCUCUCUGUUCUCCUCCUCCUCCUGCUCUGUGUCUUUUGUGUGCACCGUGUGUCUUGACUGCCGCGGACCCCUCUGCUCUACGGUAGGUGGACGGCCCGCGGCGCCCCUCGGUGGCGGCGGGGCGCAGUGCGAGCUGAGGCGAGGGGGCUGAUGGGAAUGGAAGCCGUGGCAUCCUGAGCCUUGUGGGCUUACGCUCGCUGCUGAUGCUUGGGGCCGAUGAGAGCGCGGAGCUGCUUCUCAUUUCAUAUGUUUGAUGUGAUAUGCCGUGCAAGUUGGCACGCCUCGGAAAAUUGAGGAGCAAAAAAGAAAAAACAAAAACAAAAAAUGAUAUUUGAAGCUUCUUAACUGAAGCUGGAAACUGCCUCAGUUUUUUAAGAAUAUCAGUGCAGUUUUGAAUUAAUGUUAAAGUUUUGGAUGAAGAUGCACAAAGUGAAACACUGGUGUUCACUAACAUGCAUGUAUGAAGGACAUGACUGGCUAUUUGUCAAGUACGGUGGCACACCCCCUAACAAGGAUUUCUGAAUAUCUUGCUAGCAUAUAUUGGUCAUCUAUGGGACAGUAGAUACAUUGAAAAUAUGUUAUUCUUGCUUUUUCCUGGCAGUUGGCAAGGUAGCUCAAGACAAUGCUGAUUUUGCAAUAAAAAACCUACUGCAAUAUAAACUGUGAACAUAGUGUUUUAAAAUACAAAUGGAACUAUUAUAAUAAUCUCCAUAGCAGUGACCUCUGCUUGGAUAAUCAACUGAAUCCACAUGUCCAGAGAUCACAAUCAGACAAUGCCACCUGUACUUCUGACAAAUCCCACACCUGUCCUUCCAGUCGAUGCCGAGGAAUGACCACAACCUGACUUGAGAGUAACUUUCCCAGCUGACCCAUGGUAUAAAAUACAAAAGCAAUAGAGGAGAAAAUUGUAUUUCAAAAUCAGAGAUGUUUCCUGUUGCAGUGGGAUUCAAAUGGUUCAUGUGAGAACUAUUCCUUUUUUAAAGUAUUAAUCUGCCAACAUAACAACAGAUACCGCUUCUGUACACAUUAUGGAUGUCUGAUAAGGGUAAAAUCCUUGUUUUAUGUUUUUUAUAAUUUGGUUUAUAACACAAAAUGAGUUUUGAAAAUAUCCAAAACAUGUUUUCUUUCAGGGUAAGGUAACUUGGUUUUCACUGGUGAAGAAAUGUUUCCGGGUUUAAGGUAGAUAGCAAGAUUAUAAACUUUCCUUGUUUUUGAUAAAAUAGAUUCUAUUACAAAAGGUUUGGCAAGCAGGUAAGCUGUGUUUGAGGAUACAAAGCUGAUACUUUAAGUCUUGUAUCUGCUGUUUUUCCACCAUGCUUUGCCUUCAGACAUAUUGUAGGGCAAGAAGAACUGUGUAACACCUGCCUCGCGAGACUCUGCACCAGUAGAGUUAAAGAACACAUUUUUAAGGAGUAUUUUAAUUUAAUUCUUUUCCGGAUGGAAACGAGAUGGCUAAAUCCAAACUUCACUCUGGUUAUGACUCAUCUAUAGAGGCCUGGGCCAUCAAUGUAGAUGGUGAAUUCGCUAUGAGCUACCCUAUAGCAAUAAGUUACCAUAUAGUUAACUUAAUGUGAUAUUAAAAUAAAACACACAAGCCCCCAUAUAAUCACAAACUCCACAAAUCAGAUAACCCAUAAGUAAGUUUUAGGGGAAAUUGUUUUACUUCACGUACCCUUUGUUACCAAUGAAAGAAAACUUUCCUAAUACACACACAUCUAAGCACAUUCACAACAUCAAAAUGUUCACAAAUGGCUGUAAAAAAACCCCACUGGCGCACUUGAGUCGAUCCCCUGGCGGGUUCUCUCCAGGGUACGAGCCAUAGGUACGAGCACACAUAGGUACGAGCACAGUCUGUCCUCUCAGUUGUGCACAUUCUGCUGCGCAUGCGCCCGCCAUUAAGUCUUCCCGCAACUCUCCAAGGCUCCAACUCUCACCAAGAAGGUUCUGAACAUCUUUCUUUUCUCUUAAAACACUCCAACCCAGACAUCAAUUUAAAACAAUGUAACAAACUAAAAAUGCAGCAUCACUCUCAGACUUUUGACACUACGUGACUUCUUGUUUUUCUGUUUGAGCUGUGUGUGUUACCAGUUCCUUGGUUAUAUAUAUGACAGUUUAAAAAAGAUAUUUUUUCUAUCAGGGGUACAGAGAAAAUUGGACGUUCGGUUGGAUGUCACCUUAAGGCUGCCAAACAUUUAUUCAUAACAGGGUUGUUUAAUCUAAUUUACAUGAAGUCAAAUCUUAUUUGCCAUUUUUGACUUGAAAAAAACUGACGAAAGAGUUGGAAAGGAUAUAGAAGGCCUGUGUUUUGACUGCUCCUGCAGUCAAGGCACGCUUUGUUCUGUCGCUUGUCCCGAGGGAUGCACAGAGAGUGUUAUCAGCCUGUCUUUAUCUAUUUAGGACUGCGCUGCGGAACGUAAUUUAUUAAAGGAAUAUUGGAAUUUAGUAUAUCCAUCACAGGCUCGAAUCAUCCCCUGAAUUGAAUUUGCAUUCUAAUUCAAGGAGAGAGCCACUCAGACUGGCAGGGUUCAGGGGAUUCUUAUUAUUAUUUAGCUUAUAUUUCUUUGCUUAGAUUAUUUUUGUAUGCAAUACAUUACAAAGCUUUUUAUAUGUAUCACUUGCUGUACAUUCUAGUCGCAUUAUGUGAUACAAUACAGUGACUAUGUGAAAAUAGAAUGAUCUUUCGAUAUUGUUCAGACUGCAUUGUUAUUGCCAGAACCUAAAAAUACACUUGUGUGUGCUCCAGACAAAGACAGUUUGUGAUGGGACGUUACAUUAACACUGCAAAAGUGACACAUUUCUCUGGAUGAUGGAAGGCAGAGGGAGGAAAUUGAUGGGCUGUUUGAAGUUGAAAUAAGAUUCAGCAUUGUGUCCACUCAGUCGGGUAAAGCUGCAGUCUCUCUGCCACCAUGUCAUGGUGUAGUGCUGACCCAGGACUUUUCUGUUUCCUUCUGAGCUCAAUUUGUCCAGUGGUGAAGUUGAGGAGGCGGAUUAACACUGUAGUCAGUGCCAUACAGAGUUGGAGGACAAAUGGGUUUGUUAGCUCGGUCUCUGUGUUAUUCCUUUUCUGCUGGCUAAAGACAGGGAUCAUUUCAUUUGUGGUCUUAUUGCUUACUUCCUUUGUUUAUAUUUAUGAAUAUCUGAUCUACAUGGUCCAGGCACUCAACAUUAGUCCAGGUUGAGUUAUGCAGUGAGCCACAGCAGUUCUGUUCAACAGGUCGUUCAUUUAUUUUACACAGAUCGAGUUUCCUCACCCAAGUAAAAAAAAAAAAAACCCAAACAAAUACAUUGAAUAU